AGCGUGCGAUUGGAUUGCACGUCUAAGCAGUAAGGCUGAGUAUUAGGCAAAUCCGGUACUCGUUAAGGCUGAGCUGUGAUGGGGAGAAGACAUUGAGUCUUCGAGUCGUUGAUUUCACACUGCCGAGAAAAGCCUCUAGAUAGAAAAUAGGUGCCCGUACCGCAAACCGACACAGGUAGUCAAGAUGAGAAUUCUAAGGUGAGCGAGCGAACUCUCGUUAAGGAACUCGGCAAAAUGACCCCGUAACUUCGGGAGAAGGGGUGCUCUUUAGGGUUAACGCCCAGAAGAGCCGCAGUGAAUAGGCCCAAGCGACUGUUUAUCAAAAACACAGGUCUCUGCUAAACCGUAAGGUGAUGUAUAGGGGCUGACGCCUGCCCGGUGCUGGAAGGUUAAGAGGAGUGGUUAGCUUCUGCGAAGCUACGAAUCGAAGCCCCAGUAAACGGCGGCCGUAACUAUAACGGUCCUAAGGUAGCGAAAUUCCUUGUCGGGUAAGUUCCGACCCGCACGAAAGGCGUAACGAUUUGGGCACUGUCUCAACGAGAGACUCGGUGAAAUCAUAGUACCUGUGAAGAUGCAGGUUACCCGCGACAGGACGGAAAGACCCCGUGGAGCUUUACUGUAGCCUGAUAUUGAAAUUCGGCACAGCUUGUACAGGAUAGGUAGGAGCCUUUGAAACGUGAGCGCUAGCUUACGUGGAGGCGCUGGUGGGAUACUACCCUAGCUGUGUUGGCUUUCUAACCCGCACCACUUAUCGUGGUGGGAGACAGUGUCAGGCGGGCAGUUUGACUGGGGCGGUCGCCUCCUAAAAGGUAACGGGGGCGCUCAAAGGUUCCCUCAGAAUGGUUGGAAAUCAUUCAUAGAGUGUAAAGGCAUAAGGGAGCUUGACUGCGAGACCUACAAGUCGAGCAGGGUCGAAAGACGGACUUAGUGAUCCGGUGGUUCCGCAUGGAAGGGCCAUCGCUCAACGGAUAAAAGCUACCCCGGGGAUAACAGGCUUAUCUCCCCCAAGAGUUCACAUCGACGGGGAGGUUUGGCACCUCGAUGUCGGCUCAUCGCAUCCUGGGGCUGUAGUCGGUCCCAAGGGUUGGGCUGUUCGCCCAUUAAAGUGGUACGCGAGCUGGGUUCAGAACGUCGUGAGACAGUUCGGUCCCUAUCCGUCGUGGGCGUAGGAAAUUUGAGAGGAGCUGUCCUUAGUACGAGAGGACCGGGAUGGACAUACCUCUGGUGUACCAGUUGUCGUGCCAACGGCAUAGCUGGGUAGCUAUGUGUGGACGGGAUAAGUGCUGAAAGCAUCUAAGCAUGAAGCCCCCCUCAAGAUGAGAUUUCCCAACUUCGGUUAUAAGAUCCCUCAAAGAUGAUGAGGUUAAUAGGUUCGAGGUGGAAGCAUGGUGACAUGUGGAGCUGACGAAUACUAAUCGAUCGAAGACUUAAUCAA
rnacentral:rRNA from 1 species